rnacentral:rRNA from 1 species
GUCGAGCGGACGGAUGGGAGCUUGCUCCCUGAAGUCAGCGGCGGACGGGUGAGUAACACGUGGGCAACCUGCCUGUAAGACUGGGAUAACUUCGGGAAACCGGAGCUAAUACCGGAUAAUGCAUUUCCUCUCAUGAGGAUAUGCUGAAAGAUGGUUUCGGCUAUCACUUACAGAUGGGCCCGCGGCGCAUUAGCUAGUUGGUGAGGUAACGGCUCACCAAGGCAACGAUGCGUAGCCGACCUGAGAGGGUGAUCGGCCACACUGGGACUGAGACACGGCCCAGACUCCUACGGGAGGCAGCAGUAGGGAAUCUUCCGCAAUGGACGAAAGUCUGACGGAGCAACGCCGCGUGAGUGAUGAAGGUUUUCGGAUCGUAAAACUCUGUUGUCAGGGAAGAACAAGUGCCGGAGUAACUGCCGGCACCUUGACGGUACCUGACCAGAAAGCCACGGCUAACUACGUGCCAGCAGCCGCGGUAAUACGUAGGUGGCAAGCGUUGUCCGGAAUUAUUGGGCGUAAAGCGCGCGCAGGCGGUCUCUUAAGUCUGAUGUGAAAGCCCACGGCUCAACCGUGGAGGGUCAUUGGAAA